rnacentral:rRNA from 1 species
UGGGGAAUCUUAGACAAUGGGCGCAAGCCUGAUCUAGCCAUGCCGCGUGUGUGAUGAAGGCCCUAGGGUCGUAAAGCACUUUCGCUAGGGAAGAUAAUGACUGUACCUAGUAAAGAAACCCCGGCUAACUCCGUGCCAGCAGCCGCGGUAAUACGGAGGGGGUUAGCGUUGUUCGGAAUUACUGGGCGUAAAGCGCACGUAGGCGGAUCAGCAAGUUAGGGGUGAAAUCCCGGGGCUCAACCCCGGAACUGCCUCUAAAACUGUUGGUCUUGAGUUCGAGAGAGGUGAGUGGAAUUCCAAGUGUAGAGGUGAAAUUCGUAGAUAUUUGGAGGAACACCAGUGGCGAAGGCGACUCACUGGCUCGAUACUGACGCUGAGGUGCGAAAGUGUGGGGAGCAAACA